rnacentral:rRNA from 1 species
CCUACGGGUGGCAGCAGUCGAGAAUCAUUCACAAUGGGGGAAACCCUGAUGGUGCGACGCCGCGUGGGGGAAUGAAGUUCUUCGGAUUGUAAACCCCUGUCAUGUGGGAGCAAAUUAAAAAGAUAGUACCACAAGAGGAAGAGACGGCUAACUCUGUGACAGCAGCCGCGGUAAUAGCGAGGUCUCAAGCGUUGUUCGGAAUCACUGGACGUAAAGGGUGCGGGGGCGGUUGGGUAAUUCGUGGGGUAAAGGCGCGGCGUCAACCCGCGGACGGCACAUGAUACUGCGAGACUAGAGUAAUGGAGGGGGAAGCGGAAUGCUUGGUGUAGCAGUGAAAUGCGUAGAUAUCGAGAGGAACACUCGUGGCGAAGGCGGGUUCCUGGACAUUAACUGACGCUGAGGCACGAAGGCCAGGGGAGCGAAAGGGAUUAGAUACCCCAGUAGUC